UGGGGAAUCUUCCGCAAUGGGCGAAAGCCUGACGGAGCAACGCCGCGUGAGUGAAGACGGCCUUCGGGUUGUAAAACUCUGUGAUUCGGGACGAAAGAUAAGCAGACGAAUAAUCUGCAUAAGUGACGGUACCGAAAAAGCAAGCCACGGCUAACUACGUGCCAGCAGCCGCGGUAAUACGUAGGUGGCAAGCGUUGUCCGGAAUUAUUGGGCGUAAAGCGCGCGCAGGCGGCUACUUAAGUCCAUCUUAAAAGUGCGGGGCUUAACCCCGUGAUGGGAUGGAAACUGAGAAGCUGGAGUGUCGGAGAGGAAAGUGGAAUUCCUAGUGUAGCGGUGAAAUGCGUAGAGAUUAGGAAGAACGCCGGUGGCGAAGGCGGCCUUCUGGGCCAUAACUGACGCUGAGGAGCGAAAGCUAGGGGAGCGAACAGG
rnacentral:rRNA from 1 species